UACGUAGGGCGCAAGCGUUGUCCGGAUUCACUGGGUGUAAAGGGUGCGCAGGCGGGAGUGCAAGUCAGAGGUGAAAUCUCACGGCUCAACCGUGAAACUGCCUUUGAUACUGCAUUUCUUGAGUUAGGGGGAGGUUGAUGGAAUUCCAGGUGUAGCGGUGAAAUGCGUAGAUAUCGGGAGGAAGGCCGGUGGCGAAGGCGGCGCUCUGGAACAUUUCUGACGCU
rnacentral:rRNA from 1 species